rnacentral:ncRNA from 2 species
UCGCAGAUCACGGGGAGCUUGCGCAGACGGCAGGCUGAGAGGGAGCGCGCUCGCUCCGACCCGAAAAACCUGAUAUGGGUAAUGCCAACGAAGGGAAAAGAUAUGAACAUCAGUG